UACGUAGGGGGCGAGCGUUGUCCGGAAUUACUGGGCGUAAAGGGCGCGUAGGCGGCUAAUUAAGUCAGGCGUGAAACCCCCGGGCUCAACCUGGGGCAUGCGCAUGAGACUGGUUGGCUUGAGUGCAGGAGAGGAAAGCGGAAUUCCUAGUGUAGCGGUGAAAUGCGUAGAUAUUAGGAGGAACACCAGUGGCGAAGGCGGCUUUCUGGACUGUAACUGACGCUGAGGCGCGAAAGCGUGGGGAGCAAAC
rnacentral:rRNA from 1 species